rnacentral:lncRNA from 1 species
CUGAAAGAGAUGAAUGGCCAAUAGCGAGGCAAGAGACAGCAUAGGCAAGGCUGGAAGGCAGAGAAAAUAAAUAGGAAGAGAGAUCUGAGGGAAGGAGGAAGGAGCAUGAGAACAAGGAGAGGAGGACAUCAGGAGCCAGCCACCCAGCCACUCAAGCAGCCACGGAGUAAGAGUGAAAGUAAGAUAUACCGAAGUAAGAAAAGGGAAAGUCCCAGAAGCAAAGGGCAUGGGAUAAUUUAAGUUUAGAAAAGCUGGGAAGAAACAAAUCAAGCUAAGGUCGAGCAUUUAUAAACAUAAACCUCUGUGCAUUAUUUAUUUGGGAGUUAAAUGGCAGCCCCCCCCCAAAAAAAAAACAUCAAAGAGUAAAAAGAGUAAGAAAGAAUCAACUACAGCCUACUCUGAAGUAAUUCAGAGUAGAAAAAAUAAGUUGGAAAACAAGAGAUAUUUGUGUAUGUAGAGGAAGGAACUGUAGAAGCACACAUGACAGAGAAAUGCAGAGACAGGUAAACUGAGAAUAUUCUGAGAAGACACUAGGUCAGGUAAGAAACUGAAGUAUGCAGUCUUGGAAAUACUGUGACUGUAAGAUUCACAGUAGCCAGAAACCUGGUUCAGGCAUCUUGCAAGCUCUCGAAUCUGCCUGGUGAUUGGGGUGCCCGCAGUCAUGGCCUGGGACGCCGGAUACUUGAGUUUUCGGGGGUCUUACAUUUGGGGGCUCGUCCUGGAUUUUCGACCACCCCUCACCUGAGUGGAGUCGAUCUUGGAGGAUCAGCAAGACCCGGUGUGGAUUCCAGAGAGACUAACGAGGAGGUGCAACAAACAAGAUGAAGCCUGAAGCCUCCGAUAUUGAUCCUGCUGCUGACCUUGACAACACCGUGGCUGAUCCAGGCCAGAGAACAAAUCCUGUGGGCCAUAGCGAAAGCGUGGCCAAUUCCCUUGCCUGUUCAUAGCACAUCUAAAGUUUUGCCUGUCUUCUUUUCUACUAGUUGUGAAUUGGGCUUGCCUUGUGUCAGUUUAGACCCUGACACUGCCCAGUAUUUAGCCACUAAUAUUUCUCUCAAUGGAGCAUUAUGCUUCUCC